rnacentral:rRNA from 1 species
GGCGACACCGCGCGGAACCCGAAAGCCGUUCUCAGUUCGGAUCGGAGUCUGCAACCCGACUCCGUGAAGCUGGAUUCGCUAGUAAUCGCGCAUCAGCCAUGGCGCGGUGAAUACGUUCCCGGGCCUUGUACACACCGCCCGUCAAGCCAUGGGAGCCGGGGGUGCUUGAAGUGCGUCGCCGCAAGGCGCGCCCUAGAGCAAAACCGGUGACUGGGGCUAAGUCGUAACAAGGUAAC